UGCCAGCCGCCGCGGUAAGACGGAGGGCGCAAGCGUUGUUCGGAAUUACUGGGCGUAAAGGGCGGGCAGGCGGUCCGUUAAGUCGUUUGUGAAAAUCCGGGGCUCAACCCCGCGAAAUGCAGACGAUACUGGCGGACUGGAGACCGGUAGAGGCAAGCGGAAUUCCUGGUGUAGCGGUGGAAUGCGUAGAUAUCAGGAAGAACACCUGUGGCGAAGGCGGCUUGCUGGGCCGGGUCUGACGCUGAACCGCGAAAGCGUGGGGAGCAAACAGGAUUAGAUA
rnacentral:rRNA from 1 species